UCGAGGGGCAGCAUGAACUUAGCUUGCUAAGUUUGAUGGCGACCGGCGCACGGGUGAGUAACACGUAUCCAACCUGCCGAUGACUCGGGGAUAGCCUUUCGAAAGAAAGAUUAAUACCCGAUGGCAUAGUUCUUCCGCAUGGUAGAAUUAUUAAAGAAUUUCGGUCAUCGAUGGGGAUGCGUUCCAUUAGGUUGUUGGCGGGGUAACGGCCCACCAAGCCUUCGAUGGAUAGGGGUUCUGAGAGGAAGGUCCCCCACAUUGGAACUGAGACACGGUCCAAACUCCUACGGGAGGCAGCAGUGAGGAAUAUUGGUCAAUGGACGAGAGUCUGAACCAGCCAAGUAGCGUGAAGGAUGACUGCCCUAUGGGUUGUAAACUUCUUUUAUACGGGAAUAAAGUGAGGCACGUGUGCCUUUUUGUAUGUACCGUAUGAAUAAGGAUCGGCUAACUCCGUGCCAGCAGCCGCGGUAAUAC
rnacentral:rRNA from 1 species